rnacentral:piRNA from 1 species
UGCCCAAUUUGGAGUCUGUUGAGCCUUCUGC